AUUGAACGCUGGCGGCGUGCCUAAUACAUGCAAGUCGAACGCUUCCUACCGGUGCUUGCACCGGGAAAGAAGAGUGGCGGACGGGUGAGUAACACGUGGGUAACCUACCUACAAGCGGGGGAUAACAUUCGGAAACGGAUGCUAAUACCGCAUAGAUCUUUUCGUCUCCUGGCAGAAAGAAGAAAGACGGUUUCGGCUGUCGCUUGUAGAUGGACCCGCGGCGCAUUAGUUAGUUGGUGAGGUAAUGGCUCACCAAGACGAUGAUGCGUAGCCGACCUGAGAGGGUGAUCGGCCACACUGGGACUGAGACACGGCCCAGACUCCUACGGGAGGCAGCAGUAGGGAAUCUUCCGCAAUGGACGAAAGUCUGACGGAGCAACGCCGCGUGAGUGAAGAAGGUUUUCGGAUCGUAAAACUCUGUUGUUAGAGAAGAACAAGGAUGAGAGUAACUGCUCGUCCCUUGACGGUAUCUAACCAGAAAGCCAUGGCUAACUACGUGCCAGCAGCCGCCGUAA
rnacentral:rRNA from 1 species